rnacentral:lncRNA from 12 species
UGCAUACAAAUAAAAGAUGAUUCUAACUAUUUUAUGUUUGUUUUGCUUGUCUACAUUUUCUGUCUUUUCUGUGUAAUUAGCAUGUAAUGCUUUAGUAAUAAGGAAAAGAAAUUUGAUUUUGAAAAAAAUUCAAUUUACUAAAGCAUUCAUGGUUGCAUUAUAGCAAAUAGUUGUAACUGAAGAUGCACAUUUCCAUUAUCUGACUACAGUAGAACAAAUGGUUUGAAAACAGCACAAGCUAAAUUCUAGGAAAUUCUACAUAUUCUUGGGAUAAUGAUUUGCAACGUUUUGAAAUAACAGAUAAUAGUGUUCACCUAAAAUGACCUGGAAACUCAACAAAGCAUUUAAAAAUGAACUGAACCAAAUUUUAAUGUUCUAGAAAUAUGUAGCAUUAUGAAGCUGGAACAUGUUGUUCACGGAUUGGUUUCAUGUUCUGUUCUGGGGCUUUAUCUUUUUUUUUUUUUUUGCACUCAAUACUACAAAAUAGUAACUUGUAUUAUUCUCUCAUGGCAUCACAUGUCUCCAUUUUGUCACCAGGAUGAGAUUGUGUUGUCCCUCAGAGCAAGGACCAGGUCUUAAAAUUCUUUUGCAACAAUUAUCACAGUACUCAACUGACAGGAUUCAAUAUGUAGGAGGCACUAAACACUUGAAAGAUUGAAAUGUUUCUUUUUUCUUUCAGACUUAUUGUCCAACUAACUCAUUUCAUGUGAAAACCCUAAACUGUCUUCAUUACUAGUUUAUAAGCAUAGAAGGAGCUGGAGAAUUCUGAGUAUCAAAAUGGUUAGUUAUUCCUGCAGUUUAAGAAACAAAACUAACAAAACAAAACUUUCUCACUGAUUUGGUGGCUGACAGAUCUCAUACUCUAUGGUGCUAAUUGCCUUACUCAUUUUUUUUUUCCAUUUGAAACAGAAGUACCAAAGCACAUGCAUGACCAGACUGAAAGAUGGUUGUGUUCUGUACAGCGGCCAUAUUCUGAUGGAUUCUGGAAGACAGAGGGAUGAGACAAGCGGCUGCUGGAGUAUCUCCAACAGCCUCCACCACUGUUCUUCACUGGCUGGACUGCUUUCUGCAGACACCUGGCACUCCCUGCUGAUGCAGUGACUAGACGUGUUCUCUUUCUCACCCUUAUCUUGAAGGUUCCUGAAAACUGAAGAUCAUGUGGGUGCUCCGUACACUGUGAAUGUUUCCUCACCACAUAGAGACAAAAACCGAACUGGGCGGCAUAUAUGAUAAGACUAUAUCCAAGAAUCAAACAUAUCUAAACAGAGGGAAUUUGCUUUUGAUUGAUGUUUUGAUGAAUUCGCUGGAAAGUUUAUUUUAGAACUCUUCAGAAGACAUCUUAUAGAUGGUAUAAUCCAAACCAUUAUUUUACAGACGAGAAAACACACACUCAAAGAAAUGCUGAGAAAGGAACACAUACUUUGGCAUCAGAUAGAUAAAAAUUUGAAUCCUGGCUCUGCAUGCAAGUGGCUGGCUGUACCAUCCUAUCCCUGAUGCCUUCUGAGGUUUGAUAUAAAACGGCGAAAAUUGUUACAUUUACUCCACCACCACUGCUAUCCCUCUCUCUAAUCUAAAUCUCCCUAAUCUCUUGUGUGGUUUCUUUUUUUUUUCAAUAAUAAAUUUAUUUUGUAUUGGUGUUCA